rnacentral:rRNA from 1 species
AUGACGAGGUCGAUGCCCAUCUCGCCCCACGGCAGGUUGGAGGGGUUGCGGUCGGACACCACCUUGAUCACCUUGCCGUCCACGGAGAUGGCGUUGUCGCCCACGGGCUUGACGUCCGCGUCGAAGAUGCCCAGCGUGGAGUCGUACUUGAGGAGGUGGGACGCCUGCUUCACGCCUCCGGUGUCGUUGAUGGCGAUCACCUCCAGCGGCGAGCUGUCGCCGCGCCCGUGCCAGCACCGCAGGAAGUUGCGCCCGAUGCGCCCGAACCCGUUGAUCGCCACCUUGAGUUUGGCCUCCGUCGGCGCCUUGCGCGACCCGCCGCUGGUGCUCACCUGCAAGCACAGCGCCGCCGCGUCACGCACACACGCUCCCAUGGCACGCGGCCAAGCAAGCUACAUUCCGCCGAUCAUGUCAUACCGCGUACGUCCUGAAGGAAACCGCGGACAUGAAGUCGUCGGAGGUGGCAUUCCGCCGGAGCGGCAGCGACGACGAGCUCCUCAGCCCGGAGAACUCCAGCAUGCCCCCCUGAAUCGAGUAUUCGAGUUGGACGCAAAUCACUUACAGAACCGUGCGUGA